rnacentral:rRNA from 1 species
GACGAACGCUGGCGGCGUGCUUAACACAUGCAAGUCGAACGGAAAGGCCCUGCUUUUGUGGGGUGCUCGAGUGGCGAACGGGUGAGUAACACGUGAGUAACCUGCCCUUGACUUUGGGAUAACUUCAGGAAACUGGGGCUAAUACCGGAUAGGAGCUCCUGCUGCAUGGUGGGGGUUGGAAAGUUUCGGCGGUUGGGGAUGGACUCGCGGCUUAUCAGCUUGUUGGUGGGGGAGUGGCUUACCAAGGCUUUGACGGGUAGCCGGCCUGAGAGGGUGACCGGCCACAUUGGGCCUGCGAGACGGCCCAGACUCCUACGGGAGGCAGCAGUGGGGAAUAUUGCACAAUGGGCGGAAGCCUGAUGCAGCAACGCCGCGUGCGGGAUGACGGCCUUCGGGUUGUAAACCGCUUUCGCCUGUGACGAAGCGUGAGUGACGGUAAUGGGUAAAGAAGCACCGGCUAACUACGUG